AGGACGAACGCUGGCGGCGUGCUUAACACAUGCAAGUCGAGCGGAAAGGCCCUUCGGGGUACUCGAGCGGCGAACGGGUGAGUAACACGUGAGCAACCUGCCCCUGGCUCUGGGAUAGCCUCCGGAAACGGGGAUUAAUACCGGACAUUCUCCUUCUUCCGCAUGGUUGAGGGUGGAAAGUUUUUCGGCCAGGGAGGGGCUCGCGGCCUAUCAGCUUGUUGGCGGGGUAACGGCCCACCAAGGCGACGACGGGUAGCCGGCCUGAGAGGGCGACCGGCCACACUGGGACUGAGACACGGCCCAGACUCCUACGGGAGGCAGCAGUGGGGAAUAUUGCGCAAUGGGCGAAAGCCUGACGCAGCGACGCCGCGUGGGGGAUGAAGGCCUUCGGGUUGUAAACCCCGUUUCACCAGGAGCGAAUCCAGACGGUACCUGGGAAGAAGCGCCGGCUAACUACGUGCCAGCAGCCGC
rnacentral:rRNA from 1 species